CCUUCAUUGGAGCUAUUUGAAGAUUUUUGAAAAGCUACAAAGGUGAAUAUUAGAGCUAUGAUCAUGGUGAUGACGUGGAGGACGCAUGACUGAGGAAGGACCAUUAGGUUGCACACUCUUUGUUGUUGGUGUUAGGAUAGCUUGAUUUUUUUUUUUAUACUUGGAUAUUUGGAUGUCUUAGAAAGUUGUUAUUUAGGGGCUGUCUAGUUAGGGUUGUUUUAGAUGUGUAUGAUCAUCUUUUUUUAAUCGUUGUUUUUACUUAUUUAGACUGGUUAUAGAAUUGUUGGUUUAGUAGAAGUUUUAUGUUUCGUUAGCCCACAAAGGGUGAGAGAAUUCGUUUUCGAAAUUUAAUAAAAUAUGAACUACCAGGUUUUAUGUUAGUUGUUUUA